GAUGAACGCUAGCGGCAGGCUUAAUACAUGCAAGUCGAGGGGCAGCAUGAUUGUAGCAAUACAAUUGAUGGCGACCGGCAAACGGGUGCGGAACACGUACACAACCUUCCAAUAAGUGGGGAAUAGCCCAGAGAAAUUUGGAUUAAUACCCCGUAACAUAACGAUGUGGCAUCACAUUGUUAUUAUAGAUUUUUCGCUUAUUGAUGGGUGUGCGGCUGAUUAGAUAGUUGGCGGGGUAACGGCCCACCAAGUCUACGAUCAGUAGCUGAUGUGAGAGCAUGAUCAGCCACACGGGCACUGAGACACGGGCCCGAAUCCUACGGGAGGCAGCAGUAAGGAAUAUUGGACAAUGGACGCAAGUCUGAUCCAGCCAUGCCGCGUGAAGGAUUAAGGUCCUCUGGAUUGUAAACUUCUUUUAUAAGGGACGAAAAAAGGCUUUUCUAAGUCGUCUGACGGUACCUUAUGAAUAAGCCCCGGCUAACUUCGUGCCAGCCGCCGCGGUAAAAC
rnacentral:rRNA from 1 species